rnacentral:rRNA from 1 species
AUUGAACGCUGGCGGCAGGCCUAACACAUGCAAGUAUAGCGGAGCGGCGGCCGGGUGAGUAAUGACUAGGAAUCUGCAUGGUAGUGGGGGAUAACGUCCGGAAACGGGCGCUAAUACCGCAUACUAUCAGAUGAGCCUAGGGGGGAUUAGCUAGUUGGUGGGGUAAAGGCCUACCAAGGCGACGAUCCAGAACUGGUCUGAGCGGAUGAUCAGUCACAUGGGAACGGAGACACGGUCAAGACUCCUACGUGAGGCAGCAGUGGGGAAUAUUGGACAAUGGGCGAGAGCCGGAUUCAGCCAUGCCGCGUGUGUGAAGAAGGUCUUCGGAUUGUAAAGCACUUUAAGUUGGGAGGCGUUACCAACAGAAUAAGCACCGGCGAACUUCGUGCCAGCAGCCGCGGUAAUAC